UUGGCUACAUUUUUCAUUUUAAUACUUUAACUAAGACCAGUACCUAUUGAACACUUAAACCUUAUCUUACUCAUACCUAUUAAAUACAUAUUUUAUAACCCUCAACAGACUUCAAAGCAUGAAGCUACUUGCCAUUGACCUAACAAAUGACACCAAUAAGAAAAAGACAAGUCAACAGAGAAAAAGAAGAGUAAAAAAUCUAGAAAGGAAAAAAAAGAAAGAGAAAUGGGUUUCAUUCCAUCUGCUUAAACGCUGAGUAUUGGGGAGAGUCUUGUAUGGAAUCUGAUUUCUUUCAAGCUCUGCAGCAGAUUGACGAUGUAUGAGAUUAGUCCAUUGACUAAAAAAUAAAUAUCUGAAGACAAAAAAUAAUUUGAAGUUCAGGAAAAAUUUACAGAGUUUCAUGGUCGAAAAAUUCUCCAUCGUCAUCUUUUUCGUCAAUCUCAUACUUCACCAAUUUUCUUUGAUCCAAUUUCUGAUCAAUUUUAGUUAUCUCAUCAAUUCAACCUUCUGAGUCAACUUGUUCUUCGUCUCUGAAUUUUUAAAUCUCCAUUUCAUGUAAGGAGGGAAGAGAAAGGAUCGAGGCUGGUGGUGGCAGUGGUGGGUAGGGAGGAGGAAGAAGGGGAAGGGUGGGGGUGGUGUGCGGAGAAAGAAGAACGAAGGAAAAUGGUCGCACCGAUGGCGGAGGAGCGGCAGUAAUGGAGUUAAUAAGCUGGUGAUAUGGUUUCUUUAGAAAAAG
rnacentral:lncRNA from 1 species